rnacentral:tRNA from 1 species
AGGAUAAUAGUUAAUUAUAACAUUUAAUUUGCAGUUAAAAAGUAUUGGCUACCAAUUUAUCUUU